CCUCACUGAGAUGCCCAAAAUACAUCUAGAGAGAGAAGCAUAGAAGAGGGGGGAGAGAGAGAGCUUAUUAGAGUUUCGAAAAAAAUCUUGAGAUCCUUUAAUCUUCACCAUUAUUAUAUAUAUAAGCUUUUUUGUCUUGAUCAAGUUUUGAGUAACAAUGGCCUUGAUGAUCAAUCACCAUUUCAUGGCUGUUACCUUUGGAGUCUUAGGAAAUGCAAUAUCAUUCCUUGUAUUUCUCGCCCCAGCGCCGACGUUCUACAGGAUCUACAAGAAGAAAUCUACAGAGAGCUUCCGAUCAUUGCCGUACCAAGUUUCGCUCUUCAGUUGCAUGCUUUGGCUCUACUACGCGCUUCUCAAACGAAACGCCUUCCUUCUAAUUACCAUUAACUCCUUCGGAUGCGUCAUCGAGACCCUUUACAUCGCUUUGUUCUUCGCUUACUCCUCCAAGGACAAAAGGAUUUCGGCUAUGAAGCUAUUCAUGGCCAUGAACGUAGGUCUCUUCUCGUUGAUUCUCAGCGUUACGCAUUUUCUUGUGAAGAACCCUAACAGCCGGAUUGUGGUUCUUGGCUGGAUUUGCGUCUCGAUCUCUGUUUCCGUCUUCGCUGCUCCGCUUACUGUCGUUGCUCGUGUGAUACGGACAAAGAGUGUGGAGUUCAUGCCAUUCACGCUCUCAUUCUUCUUGACGAUCAGUGCCGUUAUGUGGUUCGCUUAUGGCUUGUUCCUCCGCGACAUAUGCAUAGCCAUCCCGAAUGUGUUAGGAUUCGCAUUAGGGAUGGUUCAGAUGAUUCUGUACGGAAUCUACAGGAACUCCGAAAAACCUAACUUGGAGAAGAAGGUUCCAGAUCAACAACAGCAGCUCAAGACGAUUGUGGUGUCGAGUCCGCUAGGUGUGUCCGAAGUAUACCCUGUCGACGUCACGUCUCAAUCGGACGGCGAUGAAGGGGAAAAGGUGACGCCACGUGGAGCAUCUGACGGUCAAGAUACUGCCAAAAUUAGCAAGGAGCCGUCAAGCGAAGGGGGCAAGCGCCACGUGGAGUGUGCCCCUCAAGAAGCUGUCUGAAAAGCGCCUCUUCAAACGUUUAGGGGCAAAAUUGGAAUUCUAAAAAAUAUCUCUCUCUCUCCGAUCUCCGGCGUCGGCUCCGUCACGGCGGGGGAAGAAAGUUACAUGUCUGUGGUAAUUAUUAUUCUAUUGGUGUUGAUGGAGUAUGUCAUGAUUUGACUGCCGUCUGUUUUCAAGGACCUAACAUGGAUCUGUGGCCAGCGAUUUGUGAUCCUUAGUGCGAUUGCGGUUGCGACUGUAACCGCCGUUUGAACAAAAUUGUAAGAGCGAUAAAAGCUGUUGCGUUUCACAAAACGCUGAACUAGUGGCGUUGAGGUUUGGAUGUUUUAAUCACAGCCCUUGAAUAUUUCAAGAUAUCAAUCAGCUUUCCAUUCCAUUUGGUUCAUUGGAGUCCAUUGAGAUCUUUAAGGAAUUAUUUCAGAAAUUAUUGAUAUUCCAAGGAAAACUUUAUUUCUAGUUGAUUUUCUUUUGGUAGAUUUUCGAUACAAAACUCUAUU